CAGGACAGGGCUGCUCGCCGCUUGGGGAAUGGAGAACUGUGGAGCAGGGGAAGGAGCACUCCCGUAGCCUGGCUGCGCAGAGGGAGGAGGUUCCACACCAAUAACCCAGAAGACAGCAUUAACAGAAAUAAAAGACAAACAGCACUCCUCUGCUGCUGCCAUGGUGCCUGUGAAAAGAUUGUGGCAAAGCGGGGCCAAAAAAAAAGAAGCAGUUUCUGAAGUUUAUCCUUGACUGCACUCAUCCUGUAGAAGAUGGAAUCAUGGAUGCUACCAGGGUAUAAGGAUGGAGCAGGAAGGUGCAAAUAUAAAGGGGUAGCACAAGGGAACACUUUUGAGAUAAUUGAACGGUCUCGUAUCUUGACUGUGGUGGUGGUUACACAAAUUUAUACAUGGGAUAAAACUAUACAGAACUGUAAACACAGUCACACACACAAAUAAAUGCACAUAAAAAUGAUAAAAAACUUAAUAAGAUCUGUAGUCCAGUUAACAAUAUUGUACCAAUUUCAAUUUCCUGGAUUUGAUAUUGUCCUAUAAUUACAUAAGAUACCACCAUUGGGGGAAGCUUGGUGAUAGGUACAUGAGCCUCUAUGUAUUGCUUUUGCAACUUCCUGUGAGUCUAUCAUUAUUUAAAAGCAAAAAGAUUUUUUUAAGCUUCUGUGGGGUUCCAGAGAUUCAAAAAAAUAGUCUUGGUGAAUUUAAUUACUAGAAUUGUUCUGUGUUAGUUGCUUUCCAUGUAUAGCUGGAGUAGUUUAAACAUUCUUCCUCUUUUGGAAAAUAUUGCAGACAUGUGCUCAAAGGAAGUAUACUAAUGUGUCUUUUAAAAACUCUGCCAGUUAUUUUUAUGAUAUAUUUUAAAAUAAAAUUACAUGCACAUGGAAAAAUAUUAUUAAUAUUUUAGACCCUAAAGAGCUUUUGCUUGCGUAGGUUAUAGAUCUACCAAUAUUUACCAUGUUGUAAUCAAAGCUGAAAAGAUCUCAAAAUAUUUAAUUCAUUAAAAAUAAUAAGCCUCUCACCUAUUAACAUAAAUGACAUAUUUUGUUAAAAUAACUACUUUCCAAAACAAAAACUAAUUUAGAAAUGUUUUAUAUUUUGAAAAUCUCUUUAUUGUCUUCCUUAAUACAAGAGAGAUAGAUUCUCAUAUUUGCUUCUGCAUUAUGAUAUGCUUGUGGUAGUUUUGGUUGAAGUAUAUGAGGAAAAUCCAACCUUAUGGAGCUUUGUAGUUGGAAAAAGGAGGAUUUCCCAGAUAGUUUGAAAGGUGUCGGGUGUCUGCAGGUUCCUCAGACCAUACUUGAAGAAAUGCUAUGCUAAAGAUACAUACUGAAGUAUUUAUAAAGGAAAUAUUAGGAUGUUAGCAAUUUGCAUGUAAAUUAUCAAACACACACACACACACACACACACACACACACACAUCAGUUCUCAUUAUAUGUGGUAGUUAUGUUCAAUAAAGUCACCACGAGCAGUGAAUUAGCAAAUACUGAGUCAUUGCUCCUAGUGGAAAUAUGGGGUAAGGUUCCUAUAAGCCCCUGGUCACAUUCUCGUCAACCAAUCAAUAUAUAACCUUGUUUCACUUGUGUUUCUGUUUAAAGACACUUUAUUUUAUAUUUCUUAAAAUAAUGAAUUGUAUACAGUAUUUCUUUACAAUAAAACACCAACCAAAAAUAGUUUAACAUU